UACGGAGGGUGCGAGCGUUGUCCGGAAUCACUGGGCGUAAAGGGCGCGUAGGUGGCGCGGGAAGUCAACGGUGAAAGUUCGGGGCUCAACCCUGCAUCGGCCGUCGAUACUCCCGGGCUCGAGCACUGUAGAGGCAGAUGGAAUUCCGGGUGUAGCGGUGGAAUGCGUAGAGAUCCGGAAGAACACCGGUGGCGAAGGCGGUCUGCUGGGCAGUUGCUGACACUGAUGCGCGACAGCGUGGGGAGCAAACAGG
rnacentral:rRNA from 1 species